GUUGCGGGCCGGGCCCCUCUGGCGAUCCAAUAUGGUCGCGAUGCCGGACCGCAUCG
rfam:Novosphingobium pentaromativorans TS6-1 contig00002, whole genome shotgun sequence.